CUUUAAAAUCUCAUUUCUAGGUCCAAAAGCUGCUUUGCAUGUGCCCAGUAGAUUUCCAUGGAAUCUUCCAACUCGAUGAAAGACGGAGAGAUGCAGUGAUUGCGUUGGGCAUUUUUCUCAUUGAAUCUGAUCUUCAGCAUAAAGACUGUGUUGUUCCUUAUCUUCUUCGACUUCUCAGAGGUCUUCCAAAAGUGUACUGGGUUGAAGAAAGCACAGCUCGGAAAGGCAGAGGGAACCUCCCAGUUGCAGAGAGCUUCAGCUUCUGUCUGGUCACUUUGCUGUCUGAUGUGGCUUACAGGGACUCCUCCCUGAGGGAUGAGAUUUUAGAAGCACUUUUGCAGGUUAUGCAUGUCCUUUUGGGAAUGUGCCAGGCCUUGGAGAUUCAAGAAAAAGAGUACCUUUGCAAGUAUGCAAUCCCAUGCCUGAUAGGAAUUUCGAGAUCAUUUGGGCGUUACAGCAAUUCAGAAGAAUCUCUUCUCUCCAAGCUCUUUCCCAAAGUCCCUCCUCAUUCCCUGAGAAUCCCAGAGGAACUGGAAGGUGUCCGAAGGCGUUCCUUUAAUGACUUCCGCUCCAUCCUACCCAGCAACCUGCUGACUGUGUGUCAGGAGGGCACACUGAAGAGGAAAACCAGCAGUGUGUCUAGCAUCUCUCAGGUUAGCCCAGAGCGUGGCAUGCCCCCUCCCAGCUCUCCUGGAGGCUCUGCCUUUCACUACUUUGAAGCCUCUUGCCUGCCUGACGGGACUGCCUUGGAGCCUGAGUACUACUUCUCCACCAUCAGCUCCAGCUUUUCUGUCUCCCCCCUGUUCAAUGGCAUCACCUAUAAGGAGUUUAGUAUUCCACUGGAAAUGCUUCGGGAACUCUUAACCUUGGUGAAGAAGAUUGUGGAGGAGCCUGUUCUCAAAUCCUUAGAUGCAGUUGUAGCCAGCGUAACAGAAGCCAAUCCCAGUGCUGACCUCUACUAUACAGCCUUCAGUGAUCCCCUCUACUUGACCAUGUUCAAGAUGCUUCGAGACACUCUGUACUACAUGAGAGACCUCCCCACCUCCUUUGUGAAAGAGAUUCAUGAUUUUGUGUUGGAGCAGUUCAACAUGAGCCAAGGGGAACUCCAGAAGAUUCUACAUGAUGCAGACAGGGUCCACAGUGAGAUGAGCCCCCUCAAACUGCGCUGCCAAGCAAAUGCUGCCUGCGUGGACCUCAUGGUGUGGGCUGUGAAGGAUGAGCAGGGUGCAGAAAACCUUUGCAUUAAGCUGUCUGAAAAGCUGCAAUCCAAGACAUCCAGCAAGGUCAUCAUUGCCCAUUUGCCCCUGCUAAUCUGCUGCCUACAGGGUCUGGGCCGCCUGUGUGAAAGGUUUCCCGUAGUGGUGCACUCAGUGACACCAUCUUUGAGAGACUUUCUGGUGAUUCCAUCCCCGGUGCUGGUGAAGCUCUAUAAGUACCACAGUCAGUAUCACACAGUUGCUGGCAAUGAUAUAAAAAUCAGUGUCACCAAUGAGCAUUCCGAGUCAACUCUGAAUGUCUUGCCGGGUAAGAAGAACCAACCAUCCAUGUACGAGCAGCUCCGGGACAUCGCCAUUGACAACAUCUGCAGGUGCCUGAAGGCUGGCCUGACCGUGGACCCAGUGAUAGUGGAGGCCUUCCUGGCUAGCCUCUCCAACCGGCUCUACAUCUCCCAAGAGAGUGACAAGGAUGCUCACUUGAUUCCUGACCAUACCAUCCGUGCCUUGGGACACAUUGCAGUGGCUCUGAGGGACACCCCAAAGGUCAUGGAGCCAAUUCUGCAGAUCCUGCAGCAGAAAUUCUGCCAGCCUCCCUCACCCCUUGAUGUGCUCAUCAUUGACCAGCUGGGCUGCCUGGUUAUCACUGGAAAUCAAUACAUUUAUCAGGAAGUGUGGAAUCUCUUCCAGCAAAUCAGUGUGAAGGCCAGUUCAGUUGUGUAUUCAGCCACCAAAGACUACAAAGACCAUGGCUACAGGCACUGUUCCCUAGCUGUGAUCAAUGCCCUGGCCAACAUUGCAGCCAACAUUCAGGAAGAGCACCUUGUAGAUGAGCUGUUGAUGAACCUGCUGGAACUGUUUGUGCAGCUAGGCCUGGAGGGGAAAAGAGCCAGCGAGAGGGCCAGUGAGAAGGGCCCCGCCCUGAAGGCUUCCAGCAGUGCAGGAAACCUGGGAGUGCUCAUUCCUGUGAUUGCUGUGCUCACCCGACGGUUGCCACCCAUCAAAGAAGCUAAACCUAGGCUACAGAAGCUUUUCCGGGACUUCUGGCUCUACUCUGUAUUGAUGGGAUUCGCUGUGGAAGGCUCAGGACUCUGGCCAGAAGAAUGGUAUGAGGGAGUCUGCGAAAUAGCCACCAAGUCACCUCUGCUCACCUUUCCCAGCAAGGAGCCCCUUCGGUCAGUCCUCCAGUACAACUCAGCCAUGAAAAAUGACACGGUCACGCCUGCUGAACUGAGUGAGCUGCGAAGCACCAUCAUCAACCUGCUAGACCCUCCUCCUGAGGUCUCAGCCCUCAUCAACAAGCUGGACUUUGCCAUGUCUACCUAUCUCUUGUCUGUGUAUCGGCUGGAAUACAUGAGGGUGCUGCGUUCCACAGACCCUGAUCGCUUCCAGGUAAUGUUCUGCUACUUUGAGGAUAAAGCUAUUCAGAAGGACAAAUCUGGGAUGAUGCAGUGUGUCAUUGCUGUGGCUGACAAAGUGUUUGAUGCCUUCCUGAACAUGAUGGCAGAUAAAGCUAAGACCAAGGAGAAUGAAGAAGAGCUGGAACGGCAUGCCCAGUUUCUGCUGGUGAACUUCAACCACAUUCACAAGAGGAUAAGGAGGGUGGCUGAUAAAUACCUGUCUGGUCUGGUGGAUAAGUUUCCACAUUUGCUCUGGAGUGGAACUGUGCUGAAGACCAUGCUGGACAUCCUGCAGACCCUGUCACUAUCACUAAGUGCUGAUAUUCACAAGGACCAGCCUUACUAUGACAUUCCUGAUGCCCCAUAUCGGAUCACAGUCCCUGACACAUACGAAGCCCGAGAGAGCAUCGUAAAGGACUUUGCUGCACGAUGUGGGAUGAUCCUGCAAGAAGCCAUGAAGUGGGCACCCACUGUCACCAAGUCCCACCUACAGGAAUAUCUGAACAAACAUCAGAACUGGGUGUCAGGACUGUCCCAGCACACGGGAUUGGCCAUGGCCACUGAGAGCAUCCUUCACUUUGCCGGCUACAACAAGCAGAACACGACUCUUGGAGCAACUCAGCUAACUGAACGGCCAGCCUGUGUGAAGAAAGAUUACUCCAACUUCAUGGCAUCCUUGAAUCUGCGUAACCGCUAUGCAGGCGAGGUACAUGGAAUGAUUCGGUUCUCGGGUGCCACAGGCCAAAUGUCUGACCUGAACAAAAUGAUGGUCCAGGAUCUGAUUACAGCUUUGGACCACAGUAAUCCUCAUCACUAUACACAGGCCAUGUUCAAGCUGACUGCAAUGCUCAUUAGCAGCAAAGAUUGUGACCCGCAGCUGCUCCAUCACCUGUGUUGGGGUCCUCUCCGGAUGUUCAAUGAGCAUGGCAUGGAGACUGCACUGGCCUGCUGGGAGUGGCUGCUGGCUGGCAAGAAUGGAGUAGAAGUGCCGUUCAUGCGGGAGAUGGCAGGGGCCUGGCACAUGACAGUGGAGCAGAAGUCUGGCCUCUUUUCUGCUGAAACAAAGGAAGCAGACCCCCUGGCGGCAUCAGAAGCAAGUCAGCCUAGACCUUGUCCCCCCGAAGUAACUCCCCACUACAUCUGGAUCGAUUUCCUGGUACAGCGCUUUGAGAUCGCCAAGUACUGUAGCUCUGACCAGGUGGAGAUCUUCUCAAGCCUGCUACAGCGCUCCAUGUCCCUGAAUAUUGGUGGAGCCAAGGGGAGCAUGAACAGGCACGUGGCAGCCAUCGGACCACGUUUCAAAUUGCUGACCCUGGGGCUGUCCCUCCUACAUGCUGAUGUGGUUCCAAAUGCAACCAUUCGAAACGUGCUUCGAGAGAAGAUCUACUCAACAGCCUUUGACUAUUUCAGUUGUCCACCAAAGUUCCCUACUCAAGGAGAAAAGAGGCUGCGUGAAGAUAUAAGCAUAAUGAUUAAAUUUUGGACUGCCAUGUUUUCAGAUAAGAAGUAUCUAACUGCCAGCCAGCUUGUUCCUCCAGAUAACCAAGACACCCGGAGCAACCUGGAUAUAACUGUGGGCUCUCGACAACAGGCUACACAGGGCUGGAUCAACACUUAUCCCCUCUCCAGUGGCAUGUCUACCAUCUCCAAAAAGUCAGGCAUGUCUAAGAAAACCAACCGGGGUUCCCAGCUUCACAAGUACUACAUGAAACGCAGGACGCUACUGUUGUCACUGUUGGCCACUGAAAUCGAGCGCCUCAUCACUUGGUACAACCCGCUGUCAGCCCCAGAACUAGAGCUGGACCAGGCAGGAGAGAGCAGUGUGGCCAAUUGGAGGUCCAAGUACAUCAGCCUGAGUGAGAAGCAAUGGAAGGACAAUGUGAACCUUGCCUGGAGCAUCUCCCCCUACCUCGCUGUGCAGCUGCCAGCCAGGUUCAAAAACACAGAAGCCAUUGGAAAUGAAGUGACCCGUCUCGUUCGGUUGGACCCAGGAGCUGUUAGUGAUGUCCCUGAAGCCAUCAAGUUCCUUGUCACCUGGCACACCAUCGAUGCUGACGCUCCGGAGCUCAGCCAUGUUCUAUGUUGGGCACCCACGGACCCACCCACAGGCCUCUCCUACUUCUCCAGCAUGUACCCACCACACCCUCUUACUGCACAGUAUGGAGUGAAAGUCCUGCGGUCCUUCCCUCCGGAUGCCAUUCUGUUCUACAUCCCCCAGAUUGUGCAGGCCCUCAGAUAUGACAAGAUGGGCUAUGUGCGUGAGUACAUUCUCUGGGCGGCAGCCAAGUCCCAGCUUCUGGCACACCAGUUUAUCUGGAAUAUGAAAACUAACAUCUACCUCGAUGAAGAAGGGCACCAGAAAGACCCUGACAUUGGUGACCUUCUGGAGCAGUUAGUAGAAGAGAUCACAGGGUCCCUAUCAGGUCCAGCUAAAGAUUUCUAUCAACGGGAAUUUGAUUUCUUUAACAAGAUCACCAACGUGUCAGCCAUCAUCAAGCCCUUCCCUAAAGGUGAUGAAAGAAAGAAGGCGUGUCUGUCAGCUCUGUCUGAAGUGAAGGUGCAGCCUGGCUGCUACUUGCCCAGCAACCCUGAAGCAAUCGUGCUAGACAUUGACUACAAGUCAGGGACACCAAUGCAGAGUGCCGCAAAAGCGCCGUAUCUAGCCAAGUUUAAGGUGAAGCGAUGUGGAGUGAGCGAACUUGAAAAAGAAGGUCUGCAGUGCCGCUCCGAUGCUGAGGACGAGUGUCGAGGGCAGGAGGCUGAUGGCAAGAAGAUCUGCUGGCAAGCAGCCAUCUUCAAAGUGGGGGAUGACUGCCGACAGGACAUGUUAGCCCUGCAGAUCAUCGACCUCUUCAAGAACAUCUUCCAGCUGGUUGGCCUGGACCUCUUCGUUUUUCCCUACCGGGUGGUGGCUACUGCCCCUGGGUGUGGAGUGAUUGAGUGCAUACCGGACUGCACCUCCCGAGACCAGCUGGGCCGCCAAACUGACUUUGGCAUGUAUGACUACUUCACACGCCAGUAUGGGGAUGAGUCUACCCUGGCCUUUCAGCAGGCACGCUACAACUUUAUCCGAAGCAUGGCCGCCUACAGCCUCCUGCUGUUCCUGCUGCAGAUCAAGGACAGGCACAAUGGCAACAUCAUGCUGGACAAGAAGGGCCACAUCAUCCACAUCGACUUUGGCUUCAUGUUUGAGAGCUCACCGGGUGGUAACCUUGGCUGGGAACCAGACAUCAAGCUGACAGAUGAGAUGGUGAUGAUUAUGGGGGGCAAGAUGGAAGCCACACCCUUCAAAUGGUUCAUGGAGAUGUGUGUCCGAGGUUAUCUGGCUGUGCGACCCUAUAUGGAUGCAGUCGUCUCCCUAGUUACACUCAUGUUGGACACGGGCCUGCCCUGUUUCCGAGGCCAGACCAUCAAGCUUUUGAAACACAGGUUCAGCCCUAACAUGACAGAGCGAGAGGCGGCAAAUUUUAUCAUGAAGGUCAUCCAGAGCUGUUUCCUCAGCAACAGGAGCCGGACCUAUGACAUGAUCCAGUACUACCAGAAUGACAUCCCCUACUAGGGGCAGGCAGCUCUGAAGCCUCUGGUGCCUGGAGCACCUCAUACUGUUACUGCGCCUGGACAUGGCACUGUGACAGGCACAUGAAGCUUUGGUUCAGGAGCCUGACAAGCGUGUGGUGGUGCUGUAUGCACAGGUGUGAGUGUUUGCACUGGACACAUUCCCUACUUGUUCACCGUCUGACUACAUAGGCAGACACACUCCAGAAACCACAAAGGAGACAGAGGUGCAGGCGGCCGAAGCCAGCAUGAUGCGCUCUAGGCAGGCAGCAGUCCGCGAGCGCGCAACUCAAGCAAAGGCGACAGCGUGUAGCGCAGCCG